rnacentral:rRNA from 1 species
CCAGCCACGGUAAUACGGAGGGCGCGAGCGUUACCCGGAUUUACUGGGCGUAAAGGGCGUGUAGGCGGCCUGGGGCGUCCCAUGUGAAAGGCCACGGCUCAACCGUGGAGGAGCGUGGGAUACGCUCAGGCUAGAGGGUGGGAGAGGGUGGUGGAAUUCCCGGAGUAGCGGUGAAAUGCGCAGAUACCGGGAGGAACGCCGAUGGCGAAGGCAGCCACCUGGUCCACUUCUGACGCUGAGGCGCGAAAGCGUGGGGAGCAAACCGGAUUAGAGACCCCCGUAGUCCCUGUCUCUUAUACAC